rnacentral:tRNA from 2 species
GCUCCGUUCGGCCAGUGGUUUAAGCCAACCGACUUUCUAUCGGUUAACCCCAGUUCGAAUCUGGGACGGAGUA